GGGCCCGUCGUCUAGCUGGCUAGGACGCCGCCCUGACGCGGCGGAGGUCCGGGGUUCGAAUCCCCGCGGGCCCA
rnacentral:tRNA from 1 species